rnacentral:rRNA from 1 species
GGGUUGUGAGGUUAAGCGACUAAGCGUACACGGUGGAUGCCCUGGCAGUCAGAGGCGAUGAAGGACGUGCUAAUCUGCGAUAAGCGUCGGUAAGGUGAUAUGAACCGUUAUAACCGGCGAUUUCCGAAUGGGGAAACCCAGUGUGAUUCGUCACACUAUCAUUAACUGAAUCCAUAGGUUAAUGAGGCGAACCGGGGGAACUGAAACAUCUAAGUACCCCGAGGAAAAGAAAUCAACCGAGAUUCCCCCAGUAGCGGCGAGCGAACGGGGAGCAGCCCAGAGCCUGAAUCAGUGUGUGUGUUAGUGGAAGCGUCUGGAAAGGCGCGCGAUACAGGGUGACAGCCCCGUACACAAAAAUACACAUACUGUGAGCUCGAUGAGUAGGGCGGGACACGUGGUAUCCUGUCUGAAUAUGGGGGGACCAUCCUCCAAGGCUAAAUACUCCUGACUGACCGAUAGUGAACCAGUACCGUGAGGGAAAGGCGAAAAGAACCCCGGCGAGGGGAGUGAAAAAGAACCUGAAACCGUGUACGUACAAGCAGUGGGAGCACAGAGCAAUCUGUGUGACUGCGUACCUUUUGUAUAAUGGGUCAGCGACUUAUAUUCUGUAGCAAGGUUAACCGAAUAGGGGAGCCGAAGGGAAACCGAGUCUUAACUGGGCGUUAAGUUGCAGGGUAUAGACCCGAAACCCGGUGAUCUAGCCAUGGGCAGGUUGAAGGUUGGGUAACACUAACUGGAGGACCGAACCGACUAAUGUUGAAAAAUUAGCGGAUGACUUGUGGCUGGGGGUGAAAGGCCAAUCAAACCGGGAGAUAGCUGGUUCUCCCCGAAAGCUAUUUAGGUAGCGCCUCGUGAAUUCAUCUCCGGGGGUAGAGCACUGUUUCGGCAAGGGGGUCAUCCCGACUUACCAACCCGAUGCAAACUGCGAAUACCGGAGAAUGUUAUCACGGGAGACACACGGCGGGUGCUAACGUCCGUCGUGAAGAGGGAAACAACCCAGACCGCCAGCUAAGGUCCCAAAGUCAUGGUUAAGUGGGAAACGAUGUGGGAAGGCCCAGACAGCCAGGAUGUUGGCUUAGAAGCAGCCAUCAUUUAAAGAAAGCGUAAUAGCUCACUGGUCGAGUCGGCCUGCGCGGAAGAUGUAACGGGGCUAAACCAUGCACCGAAGCUGCGGCAGCGACGCUUAUGCGUUGUUGGGUAGGGGAGCGUUCUGUAAGCCUGCGAAGGUGUGCUGUGAGGCAUGCUGGAGGUAUCAGAAGUGCGAAUGCUGACAUAAGUAACGAUAAAGCGGGUGAAAAGCCCGCUCGCCGGAAGACCAAGGGUUCCUGUCCAACGUUAAUCGGGGCAGGGUGAGUCGACCCCUAAGGCGAGGCCGAAAGGCGUAGUCGAUGGGAAACAGGUUAAUAUUCCUGUACUUGGUGUUACUGCGAAGGGGGGACGGAGAAGGCUAUGUUGGCCGGGCGACGGUUGUCCCGGUUUAAGCGUGUAGGCUGGUUUUCCAGGCAAAUCCGGAAAAUCAAGGCUGAGGCGUGAUGACGAGGCACUACGGUGCUGAAGCAACAAAUGCCCUGCUUCCAGGAAAAGCCUCUAAGCAUCAGGUAACAUCAAAUCGUACCCCAAACCGACACAGGUGGUCAGGUAGAGAAUACCAAGGCGCUUGAGAGAACUCGGGUGAAGGAACUAGGCAAAAUGGUGCCGUAACUUCGGGAGAAGGCACGCUGAUAUGUAGGUGAAGUCCCUCGCGGAUGGAGCUGAAAUCAGUCGAAGAUACCAGCUGGCUGCAACUGUUUAUUAAAAACACAGCACUGUGCAAACACGAAAGUGGACGUAUACGGUGUGACGCCUGCCCGGUGCCGGAAGGUUAAUUGAUGGGGUUAGCGCAAGCGAAGCUCUUGAUCGAAGCCCCGGUAAACGGCGGCCGUAACUAUAACGGUCCUAAGGUAGCGAAAUUCCUUGUCGGGUAAGUUCCGACCUGCACGAAUGGCGUAAUGAUGGCCAGGCUGUCUCCACCCGAGACUCAGUGAAAUUGAACUCGCUGUGAAGAUGCAGUGUACCCGCGGCAAGACGGAAAGACCCCGUGAACCUUUACUAUAGCUUGACACUGAACAUUGAGCCUUGAUGUGUAGGAUAGGUGGGAGGCUUUGAAGUGUGGACGCCAGUCUGCAUGGAGCCGACCUUGAAAUACCACCCUUUAAUGUUUGAUGUUCUAACGUUGACCCGUGAUCCGGGUUGCGGACAGUGUCUGGUGGGUAGUUUGACUGGGGCGGUCUCCUCCUAAAGAGUAACGGAGGAGCACGAAGGUUGGCUAAUCCUGGUCGGACAUCAGGAGGUUAGUGCAAUGGCAUAAGCCAGCUUGACUGCGAGCGUGACGGCGCGAGCAGGUGCGAAAGCAGGUCAUAGUGAUCCGGUGGUUCUGAAUGGAAGGGCCAUCGCUCAACGGAUAAAAGGUACUCCGGGGAUAACAGGCUGAUACCGCCCAAGAGUUCAUAUCGACGGCGGUGUUUGGCACCUCGAUGUCGGCUCAUCACAUCCUGGGGCUGAAGUAGGUCCCAAGGGUAUGGCUGUUCGCCAUUUAAAGUGGUACGCGAGCUGGGUUUAGAACGUCGUGAGACAGUUCGGUCCCUAUCUGCCGUGGGCGCUGGAGAACUGAGGGGGGCUGCUCCUAGUACGAGAGGACCGGAGUGGACGCAUCACUGGUGUUCGGGUUGUCAUGCCAAUGGCACUGCCCGGUAGCUAAAUGCGGAAGAGAUAAGUGCUGAAAGCAUCUAAGCACGAAACUUGCCCCGAGAUGAGUUCUCCCUGACUCCUUGAGAGUCCUGAAGGAACGUUGAAGACGACGACGUUGAUAGGCCGGAUGUGUAAGCGCAGCGAUGCGUUGAGCUAACCGGUACUAAUGAACCGUGAGGCUUAACCUUACAACGCCGAAGGUGUUU